GUUUGUAAUUAUUGUAUAAAAGAGGUUUGCAGCAGAAUAGAAUCGUAUUUCUCUUUGGACGAAGAUAAAUAAGCAACAAUGAAAAAUAUAUUUGUGGUAGCCAUGGUGGUAAUCAUGACGGUGGUAGCGGUUGCAAUGGGACAAUGCCCCAACUGCCAUCCGCGCGGUGAAGUUCCAUCGCCUUGAGCACAUCCGUUUUCGUCAUCAUAUGUAACAGUUUUACAUUGAAGUGAAUAAACGGAAAUCGCAAGAGUA